UAAUUACUAUUUUUAAUAUAAUUUAUUUCUAUAUUUAGCAUAUUAUUUAUUACUAUGAGAACGAUGAAUUAGUUUUAUCAUAUUGUUAAAUUUUUUGAUGAAAAAAAAAACUCAGUGGCUGUUUUUCCUGUAAAGCGGAUAACAAAUGAAUUGUGGAUGACCAUGCUCCUAUAAGACCCACUGCAUUAACCAAGCCAUUGAAAAGUGUGAAGAUUAUAUAGAUGAUUGGAUUGAUUAUGAUUUAAAUUUUUUGUAUAACUCUGUUUUUGGGGUCUUAAGUGGCAUCCAAGAGAUUUUUAUCUGUGAUAUGGUUUCUUGCUGAUAUAAGCAAACGAACACUUUAUUGUACUGUUAACGACGAGGAAUGUUUGAUCAAAUUCAAUGGAGUUAUUGAUUCAAAUAAGAAAGUUAUGUAUGUACUGACACAUGGCAUUUGUUAUCCCACUGUAAGUUAAAACUAGUUGUAAAAUUAAAAAAUUUAUAUUGGAACUUUUUUUUCUUUUAACAUUCAUGUUUAUUUAUUUAUACUAUCUUAGAAUUUGCUGCUUUAGAGGCAUGGCAUUUAGUGUCACAUUAAUUUACUGUUUUAGACACGUGGCAUGUGGUAUCCCACUACACUUGUUAUAAGCUGUCAUACUACACGUGGUAUGUGGUAUCCCACUAAUUAGCUAUUUUAAACAUGUGACAAGUGGUAUGACACUGUAAGUUUAAGUAUUGAUGUAUGUGAAAUGUAUAGAGUCUUUUAGUUAUCAGAUAAUGUCAAGGAGUUGACAGCAUGGUGUUCGAUUUAAAGUGCGAACCUGUGUACGAGUAACAACAGUAUUCAAAACCAAAACCUAUUUAAACCAACCAAACCAAAACUAGCGAC
rnacentral:lncRNA from 1 species